rnacentral:rRNA from 1 species
UAAGGAAUAUUGGUCAAUGGGCGCAAGCCUGAACCAGCCAUGCCGCGUGCAGGAAGACGGCCCUAUGGGUUGUAAACUGCUUUUAUCAGGGAAUAAACCCCCGCUCGUGAGCGGGGCUGAAGGUACCUGAAGAAUAAGCAUCGGCUAACUCCGUGCCAGCAGCCGCGGUAAUACGGAGGAUGCAAGCGUUAUCCGGAUUCAUUGGGUUUAAAGGGUGCGCAGGCGGAUUGGUAAGUCAGGGGUGAAAUCCCACAGCUCAACUGUGGAACUGCCUUUGAUACUGUCGGUCUAGAGUAUAGUUGAAGUGGGCGGAAUGUGUCAUGUAGCGGUGAAAUGCUUAGAUAUGACACAGAACACCGAUCGCGAAGGCAGCUCGCUAGGCUAUAACUGACGCUCAUGCACGAAAGCGUGGGGAUCAAACAG